GCCAAGUGAUGAUAAAUGAAAUCUUAGGUGACUGCAGGCAAAUCACAAAACCAGAGUUACCUAGAGAUCAUUGUCUGAAAUCUUGAUGUUUGUGUCGAGAAUCACGCAGACAUUGUAAGGCCGGACAUACAACAUGUUGCAUUGGUAACUCUUCUGUUAUUAGCUGUCUUGCAUUGCUUUAGCACUGUAGCAUGGAAGAUACGUGAAGAGUGGCCACAGUCCUGGGGUAGACUAUAUUUUACUGGGAGAGGUGUAGGCCAAGGGUGGAUUAGGCCCAAUGGGAUGGGUUAGGUCAUUGGGCUUUGGGUGGGAGGGAAUUGCAAAGGUGCCUUGCAGUUGCUAAUGAUGGUUUCUUUAGUAAUCUGAUGGCA